rnacentral:lncRNA from 1 species
UUAGUGGGCAAUCAUCCCCUGGGAGCUUACAAUCAGGACAACACCCAUCAAAUGCCAUCCUGCAAAUCCCACAUGUUUCAUCUUGUGCAUCCCAUGUCCAUGAAGCGACAGCAUGCCACCUGCAGGUUGAAAAGGAUAAGAAUUAGAGCUCCAAGAGUACAUCAUUGUUAAAUUUAUAAACAUUCACAAGUGCAACAAUUGAUUAAUGAAAAUAACAGAUAGAGAAGAGAUAAAGAGGACAUACUCUGUUUGAAAAGCCCAUCAGAUAUUCGAAAAGAGAGUCAGUUAAGAGAAAACUCUUUCUAUAAAACGUGUGCAAUACCUUUCACAACAAACACGUUUCAAGUAAAGGCAAAUUAAUUAGCAAACAAGAUCAUGUAAAAUUUCCAAGCCGAUCAACAAUUAGUAAUUUUUGAAGAAGCCAAAUCAUAUGAAUUUGAUACCAUCAAACUAAAAUUCAUUCUACCAGGAUUAAAUAAAUGCAACAAAGUUAACACCAUAGAAGUGAAAGAAAAGGAAAAUAUAAACGAUAGUUAUAAAUAGUAUAAAGGUAGUGCAUUUAAAAGAAAGGAACUGAAAACACAUUGACAAGGAUACGCAAGAUGUUGACUUUCAUCCUCUUCUCCUGCAACUACAAAAUCCCAAACCAUACAUUUCAGAGAAGUGAAUGAUAAUAGAAUCUCUAGUGAAUGAUAAUAGAAU